CCGGGAGCCCGACGCGGGACUCGAUCCCGAGUCUCCAGGAUCGCGCCCUGGGCCAAAGGCAAGCGCCAAACCGCUGCGCCACCCAGGGAUCCCAUCCUUUCUUAUUUUAUAAUUUUAAUUCCAGUGGUUAAACAUUAAAGAAUUUCUUAUGGUGAGGCCUAGUACCCUAGAUUUUGAAAGACAAACAGUUCUUUGGGGGAAGAAAUAAAACCAAAAAUAAAUUUUACAAGAAAUAUAUAGUUCCCCCCACUCCUACCCUGACAAGGCCUGGUCAUGACCCUGAAACCCAAGGAAUGAAUGUAGAAGACGGAAGAACCAGUGAGCAGAGGACAAAAGUGAUUGUAAAUGAUGUUGCCAUUUGGUUGUACAAGGUGAACAGAGGAUAUUUAACCAGAGUACUGGAUGAAGAAAAGGUUGACAAGGAAACUAAAAAGAAGUUAUGGUCCUUGAGUACUAGAGGACAAGGUUUUGAAAGAUCGGGUUCUGGAGUCUGGAUCAGCUCUGAUUCUAAGGAUACUAUAAUAUAUAUAUUAUAAUAAUAUGUAAUAUGUAUAUAUAUAUAUAUAGUAAUCUGAAGUCAGUGUAGGAAGGUUUUUGGGAGUUUCUGAACUCUACAAAAUUGUACAUGUAAAAUAUGGUGUGUAUCUACAGGCCUUUGUGGGAAAGUAGUCAAUGGCUUUUAUCAGAUUCUCGAAGAGGUCUGUGAUCCUGUUCCUCCCAAAUUAAGAAAUUACUGCUUUAUACCCAGAUAACUACAACAGACUUUGAGUUCAUGAUACAGCUACUUUAGGCUUUUGAUUUAAAUCUAUCCAAGACACUGCUACCCUGUUAACCUUCCCAUUUUGUAAUAGUUCUGUAGCUUCCACUUUGUACCAGAAGCACUUUGUAUCUCUGCUUUACAUCUAACUAAAAUAAAUUUAUAUAUAUAUAAAUUA